rnacentral:rRNA from 1 species
CUACGGGGUGCUGCAGUAAGGAAUAUUGGACAAUGGGGGAAACCCUGAUCCAGCCAUGCCGCGUGAAUGAAGAAGGCCUUAGGGUUGUAAAGUUCUUUUAGAUGCGAAGAUAAUGACGGUAGCAUCAGAAAAAGCUCCGGCUAACUCCGUGCCAGCAGCCGCGGUAAUACGGAGGGAGCGAGCGUUGUUCGGAAUUACUGGGCGUAAAGCGUGCGCAGGCGGCUAGAUAAGUCAGAAGUGAAAUCCCAGGGCUCAACCUUGGAAUUGCUUUUGAAACUAUUUAGCUUGAGUAUCGGAGAGGUUGGCGGAAUUCCCAGUGUAGAGGUGACAUUCGUAGAUAUUGGGAGGAACACCAGUGGCGUAAGCGGCCAACUAGACGAUAACUGACGCUCAGGCACGAAAGUGUGGGGAUCAAACAGGAUUAGAUACCCUUGUAGUC